CGGAAACUCCGGCGUUAGCUUCACCAAUUCGCCCGACGAUGAAUUUGAUAUCGGCCUAAAGGCCCUGCUUUGGUUGCGGACGGCUCAUCGGGUAAUGGAACUGGUCACCACUACCCUACCAGGACAGUAUGAUGGUGACGAGCA
rnacentral:snRNA from 1 species